rnacentral:lncRNA from 1 species
UUGCCGUAAUUAUUCAGUUUUAGACUCCGUCGGUGGGAUGAAGCUCAUUUGCUAUGUGAUGUCUGACUUGGUUCGGUCGGAGCUCCAUUUUUUUAUUUCUUUUUCUUCUAACCUUUUUCUUCUGAUUGGUGCCGGUCAGUAGCACCUUCAUCCGUGCAUAUAUAUUUAUACGUGCGCUCAAGAUGUUCAACAUAUGUCCAAGUGAGGGUCUUAUCCAAAGAAUAUGGAAAUAUGAAUCUUCUCAGACUCCUCUUCAUGGUCGAGAUGGCCAUAUCUUUAUUGAGGUCUCGGACCUCAAGUGUGGCGGUGUUGAAACAUGCCAUGAAGCUUCUCAGAUUCUCUCCUUCAUUUUACUUAAUAGAGAAGAGACUGUCAGACGUUCGCGGCAUCCUCCUGCUAUUACUGAAGUGGACCACGAAUGAUUGCUCUAAUUGCUCGAAAGAGUGGAUGCUUCCCGAUUGGAGCCCAGAAUACCAAGCUCGAACAACUUUCCAAAUUAUAGUCGGGAAGCCAUAGUAUAAGAGGGCAUCGGUUGCCCCUGAAUCAUCAUGAGAGCCUUAUAGCUCUUCAAGUAAUCGAUAGGGUCGGUGGAGCCGUCAUAAGGCUCCAUCUAUGGCAUCUUGAACUGAGUUAGAAUCGAUUCAUCUAAGAUGUGCCGGGAGAAGGGUAGAGUAGUGUGGAUGCCAAGGUCGUUGGAGAACCCUCGACCAUCCACCUGAAGUUGGGCGAGUCGGCGGUUGAUUUUUCUGAACUUACGUUCAUGGUCGUCAAGCCACCAU